rnacentral:rRNA from 1 species
GAGCGGUAACGCGGGAGCAAUCCUGGCGACGUAGCGGCGAACGGGUGAGUAAUGCUUCGGAAUCUGCCCAGUAGUGGGGAAUAACCAACCGAAAGGUUGGCUAAUGCCGCAUACGACCUACGGGUGAAAGCAGGGGAUCGUAAGACCUUGCGCUAUUGGAUGAGCCGAAGUCGGAUUAGCUAGUUGGUAGGGUAACGGCCUACCAAGGCGACAAUCCGUAGCUGGUCUGAGAGGACGACCAGCCACACUGGGACUGAGACACGGCCCAGACUCCUACGGGAGGCAGCAGUGGGGAAUAUUGGACAAUGGGGGCAACCCUGAUCCAGCGACGCCGCGUGUGUGAAGAAGGCCUGCGGGUUGUAAAGCACUUUUAGUGGGGAUGAAAAGCUCAGGGCUAAUACCUCUGGGUCUUGACCUAACCCACAGAAAAAGCACCGGCUAACUCUGUG